rnacentral:lncRNA from 1 species
GAUUCGUGUCCUGCCCAGUUUUGCAUGAUCAGCAGUAGUAAGUAAGCUGUUUUCUACUUGGGUAUUAUUGAGCUAUGCUUCCCUUACAUAUUCCUUAUUAGUAUUUUAUUUAAGCUAGCAGUUAAUAAAAGUACAUAACUGAUAGGUAGUUCAUGUCCUACAGAAUAAAAGAAUGAGUCUCUGUUACUACCCUUAUUAGGAUACUUGCUAUUUCAUAUCUUUGAAAUAGUUCAACUGUAUUAUAAUUAUUAAUAUUGUUAUCAAUACCUCACUCUACUUACUGAGCUAUCAUGUUACCACACUGGUGAGUUACUCUUCUAUCCUGCUCUAACUGGUUAUUCUAAGUUACCAUCAUGCUGAUUAAUUUCCCUCUUCUUGGGUAGUACUCCAGAACUACUUGCCCCACAAUUCUUCUUGUGGUUUAAUAUUUUUUGCUUGCUUGAAC